UGCCUUAUAGUUCAGUCAGUAGAACAUGAGACUCUUAAUCCCAGUGUUGUGGGUUCAAGCCCCAUGUUGGCCAA